CAAAGAAGUGUGUAAGUAGGGGCCCUAAGAGAGGCUGGGGAAUUACCAGGGGCCAGAACAUGUAGGCCUUGCAGGCUGUGUUAAGGUUUGGGGUCUUGGUCCAAAGAGCAAUGGGAAGCCAUCGGUGUUUCAAAUGUGGAGAUGUCAUAAUCAGAUCUGCAUUGUGACGUGACCACUCUGACUGCUGUGUGGCGAAAAGCCUGGAGGGGGUCCCUGAGACAACGCCGGGAGACCACACAGGAUGGUUUCGGUCAUGUUUCUUCAUAAAAGCCUAGGCCGGAGAUGAUGGUACCUGGAGUAGUGUUGGAUAGAGGUUGAUAGAAUGGGCGGUACCCGGCGAUGGACUGCAUAUUGAGAUGGCAGCACCCUCCCGAGCUGUGGCAACCCCACAGGUCUCCAGACGUUUCGCUGAAGGUCCCUUGGAGCACCCAGUCACCCGCGGUUGAGACACCCUUGGCUAGAGGUGUUCGGGAGUCAUCAGCACCUACGGGGGUGUGGCCACGAUUGCCCAGGGCGAGAGUGUGAGACGGAAGAAGAGGGUCCAGGACCCAGUGCUGAGGAGUGCCGGCGGCCGCAGGCGCAGGAGGCCAGGUCAGGAGGUGGGAAGAGGACCGCAAGGCAAAAAACUCUCAAGUGAGGGAAUGCUUCCAGAAGGAGCGUGUAGCCAACAGCGUCAUGUGCCGCUGAGGGAGCGUGAGUGCCCUGAGCCUGAGCCGUGUCCAUUGAGCUUGGUGACCUGGACAGUGUGGUGACCUCAGGUGCUUUGGUGGAGCUGAACCCAAAUGGCCAGGCCACAGAAGAAGAGGAGGAAGCGGGGAAGGGAAGAAACCGAUGCACAAGAUCACAGAGGCAAAGUCUUGUGGCAAAGCAAAGACUCAAACCUGAGACCCCAGUGUUCUUUACCCUGACUGGUAGAGCUAAGAACAGAUAGCCGUGCAGUGGCUGGAGAACUCCUGCCUGACAGAGGAGCCCAGGCUGGGUGUCAUCUCCAAGAGGGAUCUUUUUCAGGACAGAGCAUGUCCCUAGCCCCCCUGUGUGAUCUUUGUCAAAUCCAUCCCUCUCUCUGGGUAUCAGAGCCUCAACUCUAAAGAAGGAGGAUCAGAAGAAAGGUGGGGGACAACUGUUUAACACAUUUUAUUAUGUGGUAUAAUCUUACUUUCAAAAUUGGAAAAACGAACAAGAAAAGAAAAUUACAGGUUCAUUUUACCUAUGAACAUGAAGAUACAAAUCCUAAAUAAAAUACUGGCUGAUUGAA